AAUAGAAGGUGAUCGAGAUUUAAAAAUAUUAUUAUUUUUAAAUUUAGGAAAGUCCAUGUUGGCACAUGCUGCGAUUGCAUGUAGUGUUUGUGUCUAAGGAAUUCAUAACUUAGAGUACUUUGAAAGCAAAGUAACGGCGUUUUUUAUUUCUAAGGAUUAAUUAUAAAUUAAUUUAUAAUUAUAUUUAUGAAAUAAAAGCUGAAAGUGUCACAGAGACGAGUUAAUUAGAAAUAAUUAGGUGAAACGUGAUAAACCCCUCAAGCUAACAACCCAAAAAAAUGGUAGGGGCAUGUAAAACGAUGAAAUGAAGUCAGUUUUACACUACUUUUAUAGUAGCAGAUAAAUGAUCACACUUGUUUUUUAACAAGACAAAACAUGGCUUAUGCAU
rnacentral:RNase_P_RNA from 1 species